GUAAACCCUCGAGCAUGUCCUGUGCAAACCAGGUUGGCUUCAGGAAACACAAAGAGAAAGAGAAGUCCAGGGAAUGGAGAAUGUCAGGGAACGUCAGAGCUGUCUCAUCAGAGCUGUCGCCAUGGUUCCCCGGCAAUGAGGAAAGUGAGGUCUUCACGUUGCCACCUGCUUCUCCCACUGCUUCAGCCUCCCUGAGAAGGACUCCAGCAGCAGCAUGGCGAUACCAGUGGAAAGCAGAGAUGGGAGGAGCUGGAGGAAGUGYGUGGGAUAAAAUUAAAAGAGCGGUGGCAGUGACAGGUAACCAUCUGA
rnacentral:lncRNA from 1 species